rnacentral:rRNA from 1 species
GGCAAUGGGGCAGCUAUACAUGCAGUCGAGCGCAGGAAUAAACAGAACCCUUCGGGGUGAUGUUUAUGGAAUGAGCGGCGGACGGGUGAGUAACACGUGGGCAACCUGCCUGUAAGAUCGGGAUAACUCGCGGAAACGUGAGCUAAUACCGGAUAACACUUUUCAUCUCAUGGUGAGAAGAUAAAAGACGGUUUCGGCUGUCACUUACAGAUGGGCCCGCGGCGCAUUAGCUAGUUGGUGAGGUAACGGCUCACCAAGGCGACGAUGCGUAGCCGACCUGAGAGGGUGAUCGGCCACACUGGGACUGAGACACGGCCCAGACUCCUACGGGAGGCAGCAGUAGGGAAUCUUCCGCAAUGGACGAAAGUCUGACGGAGCAACGCCGCGUGAGUGAUGAAGGUUUUCGGAUCGUAAAACUCUGUUGUUAGGGAAGAACAAGUUGGGUAGUAACUGACCCAACCUUGACGGUACCUAACCAGAAAGCCACGGCUAACUACGUGCCAGCAGCCGCGGUAAUACGUAGGUGGCAAGCGUUGUCCGGAAUUAUUGGGCGUAAAGCGCUCGCAGGCGGUCUUUUAAGUCUGAUGUGAAAGCCCACGGCUUAACCGUGGAGGGUCAUUGGAAACUGGAGGACUUGAGUACAGAAGAGGAGAGUGGAAUUCCACGUGUAGCGGUGAAAUGCGUAGAGAUGUGGAGGAACACCAGUGGCGAAGGCGACUCUCUGGUCUGUAACUGACGCUGAGGAGCGAAAGCGUGGGUAGCGAACAGGAUUAGAUACCCUGGUAGUCCACGCCGUAAACGAUGAGUGCUAGGUGUUAAGGGGGUUUCCGCCCCUUAGUGCUGAAGUUAACGCAUUAAGCACUCCGCCUGGGGAGUACGGCCGCAAGGCUGAAACUCAAAAGAAUUGACGGGGGCCCGCACAAGCGGUGGAGCAUGUGGUUUAAUUCGAAGCAACGCGAAGAACCUUACCAGGUCUUGACAUCCUCUGAUACCUCUAGAGAUAGAGUUUUCCCUUCGGGGACAGAGUGACAGGUGGUGCAUGGUUGUCGUCAGCUCGUGUCGUGAGAUGUUGGGGUUAAGUCCCGCAACGAGCGCAACCCUUGAUCUUAGUUGCCAGCAUUCAGUUGGGCACUCUUAAGGUGACUGCCGGUGACAAACCCGAAGAAAAGUUGUGGAUUAU